UCAGUGCAAUAAGCAGGGCUUUUUUUUUUUCCUUCUUUUUCAGUUUUUGAUGCCUGUUUAUAACGUGAAACUUUUCUUGCAGCUUGUUACAGUUACCAUUUUUAAAUACUUUUUUUCCUCCUUAAAGAUAACAGAACAAAAUAUGCAGCCAAAGAAAUGAUCCUUACUUUUGCAUAUUUUGCACCUUGACUUUUUUAUUCUUUUGCUGUCAGUAUUUUAUGGUGGUUAUUAUUAUGAUGGUGAUGCUGAUAGCUGUAUGCAUAUGUACAAAUAAAUACAUUUUCAAAUGAUGGCAGUGGAAGGUUUUCCUGGAGAAUGAAGUGCGGUUCGGUUUCCUUGUCAACGGAAGAUGAAGUGAACAACUGAACAUCUCCCCAGUGCAGGCUUGCUGGACCUUCCCUCCUGCUCUGGACCUCUCCCUUGGUGCCGGCACAACUCAGAAGGAUGUAUGAAAUGGAAGCAGUAGGAAAGGGGUGGGAGAGGGGAAAGGACUAGAAAAAGAAUUAGGAGGGAGAACAAUAGAAAUUGAGGAAAAAAUCCUCAGCUGUUCAGUUAAGGCUUCAGAGAACGGGAAUGUUUGCAGUCCCUGCUCCUCCUCAUCUUCCUCCCUCAGUCUCAGCCCCUCUCCUCUCCGCCACCUUAGCUUUCAUCAGCACUAUAUAUAUUUCAAUACUUAUUGUUAUUUCUUAUUAAAAAACAAAAGCAGAAGAAUAAAAUAUUUGCAAACAACGAAAAAUACCCCCCUUCUCACAAACUAUAGUGUAAUACUACUCACGUAACUGUGAGACAGGAUGGAGGUUUCUUUCUGGUAAAGUAGACUUACGUGAAAGUGUAGAGUGGUUUUAUGCAUUUUCAUAAGAGAAAAGAGUUUAGGUUUCUCAUUCCUUCAUAUCCACAGCGAGCCCUUCAGAUCAAUGUGCAAAGGGCUGUGUUUCAGUUUAUUCACCGAUGUCCAAAAGCAUUUACCUUUAUUUACUUAUUUUCUUCAUCCAUUUCUCUCAGUUUUACUUCCAGUGGCUAAUCUUACUCCCCAUCAUCUUAGUGGGGCUAUAAAUUAAAAACUCUCUUAAUUCUUUCAGCUCAUUCGAAAUUUACAUUGUAUUAUUCAUUUUUUGUGGGCUAAAUCUGCCCCUUCACACCCAUUCCUACCAGGAAACCCUCCCACCUUACAAAGUUGAUUUAGAAGUUUUAACAGAAUGGUUAGACCAUUCUGUUAAAUGAAUGAAAGUACUUGGUCUUUCUAAGAAGACCGCAUUAAGUUCCUAAAUGUGGAACUUAAACUGGUCCUUUAUUUCCCCCAUACCAAUUUGACUAAUAAGAAAAGUCAAAAUUGUAACCAUGGAGCCAAUACCAAAUAAAGCCUCAUGAAAAAUUUGCAGACUUAAAGGUCAAAUAUUAAAAAUUCCAGAUUCCUCGUUAUACUAUAAUCAAUUAUAAUAUUUGAAUGAAAAAAGAUGUUGGUAUCUGACCUUCGAGAUGCUGGUGGAACUGGUCCAGAGCAGAAUGAUCAGGUCCAAAAGACUGAAAUAAACUUUAGAUGCUGAAAUGACAUUUAAAAGUACUGUAGGUAAAAUUAUUAGGUGUUGUGCAUAUCUAGAUACAACAGAUAAACACAAACAUGCUAUUAAAUUAAAAUACAGUGCAUAAAACUGCAAUAAAGUAAUGACUUCUUUCAGGGAUUUUAAUGUUA